UAGGGAAUCUUCCACAAUGGACGCAAGUCCGAUGGAGCAACGCCGCGUGAGUGAAGAAGGGUUUCGGCUCGUAAAGCUCUGUUGUAAGAGAAGAACGUGUGUGAGAGUGGAAAGUUCACACAGUGACGGUAACUUACCAGAAAGGGACGGCUAACUACGUGCCAG
rnacentral:rRNA from 1 species